AACGAACGCUGGCGGCAGGCCUAACACAUGCAAGUCGAACGAACUCUUCGGAGUUAGUGGCGGACGGGUGGGUAACACGUGGGAACGUGCCUUUUGGUUCGGAAUAACUCAGGGAAACUUGUGCUAAUACCGAAUGUGCCCUUCGGGGGAAAGAUUUAUCGCCAUUUGAGCGGCCCGCGUCUGAUUAGCUAGUUGGUGAGGUAACGGCCCACCAAGGCGACGAUCAGUAGCUGGUCUGAGAGGAUGACCAGCCACACUGGGACUGAGACACGGCCCAGACUCCUGCGGGAGGCAGCAGUGGGGAAUCUUGCGCAAUGGGCGAAAGACUGACGCAGCCAGGCCGCGUGAAUGAUGAAGGUCUUAGGAUUGUAAAAUUCUUUCAACGGGGACGAUAAUGACGGUACCCGGAGAAGAAGCCCCGGCUAACUUCGUG
rnacentral:rRNA from 1 species